AUACGGGGGGGGCAAGCGUUGUUCGGAAUUACUGGGCGUAAAGGGCGCGCAGGCGGCCCGGCAAGUCCUACGUGAAAUCCCACAGCUCAACUGUGGAACUGCGUGGGAAACUGCCAGGCUUGAGUCCGGGGGAGGAGAGUGGAAUUCCCAGUGUAGCGGUGAAAUGCGUAGAUAUUGGGAGGAACACCGGUGGCGAAGGCGGCUCUCUGGACCGGUACUGACGCUGAGGCGCGAAAGCUAGGGGAGCAAACGGGAUUAGAAACCCCGGUAGUCC
rnacentral:rRNA from 1 species